AUUGAAGGUGUAGAUUAUUUCGAAGGUACAAUAAGGUACAAUGAUUUCAACACUACGAUUCCAAAAAGUUACAUUUCUCUAUGAAAAAUCAAAAGAUCCAAACUUGAAUAAUUUCUUCGCUAUAUUCCCAAAGCUAUAUUUGUCUAAGCAAAACCUAAAAGGAAUUUUUUUUUUCAAUGCUACAACGAAAGCUUGCAAUAUUUCUGGUACAAAGUGAAAUCUCCCAAAAA
rnacentral:lncRNA from 1 species